AAAUAAAUAAAUGGUAGAUUACAUUGGACUCUGUUACAGCUGGUGAACCUGCAUCCAAAUCAAGACACCCCCAACACCUGACGAGACAAUAAGAAAGCCCCCUGAGCCCCAAACUUCCAGCGAGGAGCAAACUGGACAUCUCAGUGCCGAGACCGCCAAGCCCUUGUUCAAUGUGCACAGCAGCCCAUCUGUCAAUGGUGGCACAUCACGUGUCCAUGCAGCGCUGAACCCCCGGGAAGAGGCUUGGUCCCAGAAACCCGGAACGUUUGAGUGUUGCGGAGGAAGCACAGAGGCCGCGUUCCGGGCCAGCAGAGUGGAGUCACAUGAUCGUACAGAAGCCAGACUUGGUGAGUCUCCUCUGAGGGUUCCUGCUUGGGGUUUCCCUGGGCCAUCCGGGCGACCUGCGGGAGUCGGGGAGGGCUUGCCAGGGGCAGCGGCCAGGGACAGAGCAGAGGGCAGCCUUCACCUUGGCCACUGGGCCCCAGGCAGGAGGGGGCAAGCUUGAGCUGCACGCCCCCCCAUUCAGUGGGACUCUCCCUCUCUGGGAGGCCUACGGUCAGGCUGUGCAGAAGACAGGGGACACCCAGGGCUCCAGAGUUGCGUGAGUGUUGUUAAGAGUGUUCGAGGGCUUACAGAGAACAAACUGAGGGUGGACGGGGUGGGGUGGGGGAGAGGGGAAAGCGGGUGAUGGGCAUGGAGGAGGGCAUCUGUUGGGAUGAGCACUGGGUGUUGUAUGUAGGGGAUGAACCAUGGGAAUCUACCCCCAAAACCAAGACUGUAUGUUAGCCAAUUCGACAAUAAAUUAUAUUUAAAAAAACAAAAAAAAAGAUUGCUCAAGGGCAGACAGAGAGGGUCCAAGCACUAUGCCCCCAAGUACUGGGGGCGUAUCUCCCCCACCCCCCUUAAAACCAUCCAAAGCCACAUCCUCUCCUACUCCUUUCAUCCAUUCCCCAGGCCUCUUCCCUCCCCCGGGGACCCACCUAUUGAUUUGGGGGCCACUGGGGACCAGAAUGCCAGGAUGCUCCAUUCGGAGGGGGCCUUGGCCUCCAAGCGGGAGAUGGGCCCUGGAUCCUGGACCUGGAUAGAGAGGGAUGGGCACACUCAUCACAGGCCUCUCUGCGCCAAGAACCACAUGGUGCAAAGAGAAAACUUUGGGAGAAGAACAAGGAGGGUGCGUGUCGGGGUACGUUCACCGGGCGCUGGCACGGGGUGCACGAAAGACUACCCUCCGUAUGGGGCAGGCGCUUGGCAAAGCUGGGCCGCCCACCGCUGCCCGGAGGACGACACACUGAACGGAAGACAGGGGGUUCAAGUGUGAAUAGCAAGUAGCAAACAGCUCUGGCCCCAGAGGUCGAAGUCUUUGGGGGACGAGGCUGGUAUACGGUGAGCUAGGGCAAGAAAAUCACUCGGUCUCCGUACCUGGCACGUGGUAGGCUUUCAAUAAAACUUGGUGUUCUAAGAUGCAAAGUUCUAGAAGUUAGGAAAGCCAAGGAAGCGGCCAGGAAGAGGUGACUGAGAAAGGGGUCAGGGAGACUGGGCCAGGGCCUUGAGAGGUGAGCAGGAAGGGGCGGGGGCUGGUCAGGCCUCAGUGGCAGACCCAGGGGGAGGCGGGGGCAUCCAGGAAACCAACGUGGGGGAGAGAGUGCUCCUGUGUCCAGGUAGGAGAUUCACAGCUAGGGACAGCCUGCUGCCACUCACACUCCAGCCUCUGCGCCCAAGACGCGGGGGGGACAUCCGGUGGGGCCUGGUCCUCUCUCUCCUCCUGGCCCUCCUCCAAUUCCUCUUCCUCCCACCCACCCGAAGACCUGGAGGGGUGGGGAACAGGAGGCAGAGCAGCACCAGGGACACGUCCCCCCCCCCCUCCCUGGGGUGCCUGCGUGGCCGCGGCCCCAACCCCACCAGCGUCCGCACCCCCGUGGAGCCCCGGAGCCCCGGCCCCACCCCACUCACCUGUGCCUCACUUCCACUCUGCCCCUUCCCGGCCCUCCUGGAGCCUGGGGCCUCCCUGGAGCCGAAGUCUGGGGAUGGCGGGGGAGUAAAGGGAACCCGCUGUGACAUAUCCGCGAGCGUAUGUUCCCUCCACACGCAGCGGCCCCACACAGAGCGGUGCUAGACGCUAACUGGGAUGGGCCACGCCUCUGAGAGUGGAAAUCCGUGACAAGGUCCGCGCUAGUAACGCUCAAGUUAGAACUCGGGCUCACAGACAUGGCCAGAGCCUGGCCUCCACCUCAUCCUGCCUGGGGCCUCCAGGGGCAAAGUCACAGGAAGUCGGUGGCUGCCUUCAGACGGACCCCAGCUCUUCCCCAGUCCAGUCCUCUGCCCGGACCAGGCUAAUUUAGUUUCACUUGCAAGUUAUAAAUACAGUGUCCUAGUCUUUAAGAGAAGACAUGAAUCCCAUUAAAUAAAUAUAAUAAAUA